rnacentral:rRNA from 1 species
UGGCGGACGGGUGAGUAAUGUCUGGGAAACUGCCUGAUGGAGGGGGAUAACUACUGGAAACGGUAGCUAAUACCGCAUAACGUCGCAAGACCAAAGAGGGGGACCUUCGGGCCUCUUGCAUCGGAUGUGCCCAGAUGGGAUUAGCUAGUAGGUGGGGUAACGGCUCACCUAGGCGACGAUCCCUAGCUGGUCUGAGAGGAUGACCAGCCACACUGGAACUGAGACACGGUCCAG